GGUGGAGCCUGUUGAUUUAAAGCAGAGUCUUGUGGCCAGCGGAAGGAUGAGGAAAAUGUGUUACAUACUCUAUAUUGCUUUAUUUACAGUUCAAAGCUGGUAUAUUACAGAAAGACAUCUUGCCUCUGCAGGAGCAGAAAAAUGCAUCCUCUCUCCUCUCUCAGCUCGGAGAGAAAAAACACACAGUGAAAAAACAGGAAACCAGUGUACGUCACAUCCAGUCUCCCUUUCCCGUGAGAAACUCCAACAGUACCUCUGACUGUGGAAUGCAAAACAAUGUCUUGUGACUGCAGUUGCUGCUCAGUGAGGGAAAUAGAAACCAACAUCCUCCCCUUUCUGUGAACAUCACUGGGCAGCGUGUUCGUACAGUAUCAGUACAAACCCAACUUCUGCACAUAGGUACAGUGUUGAUCCCUUGAUACAAUCUUGGACAAUACAUCAGCAGGAAUUUCAUUACCUGGCAUAUAGGACACCGUUACGAGUCCCUUCUGAAUACAUUCCCUAGCAUGCUGCAACUUUAAUUGCAAGUGCUUUGUGCUUUGCUUACAACCUUCAGACUUCAGCAAAGCCAAACAUGCUUUGUUGUCCUGGUAAACCUGGAUUGGACAUUUGACAGGAAUUUUCAUAUCUUUGCACAAUUGUACUAACCAUUCACAAUCCUUAAGUGAAUAAGACAGUGCAUUCAGUUCAGCUUCACAAGUACUUAAGCUAACUGUUGUUUGCUUCUUGCAUGACCAAUCAAACAGACUCUGAUUGUACAUGUAGCAAACUCCAGACGUACUUUUCCUGUCUGUAGUGUCACUUCCAAAACUUGCAUCUGCAAAUAUCUCAAGACCACCAGACUUCUGAUUGUUAAAUCUCAGUCUGUAAUGCAUAGUGCCUUUCAAAUACCGCGCUAUGCGUUUCAGAGCUUUCCAAUCCUUGACACUAGGAUUGUUGACUUGUCUGCUUAGCAAAUUACAGCUAACAGCAAUGUCUGGUCUUGAACAUCUGGCAAUGAAGUUUAGCUUGCCUAGCACACUCCUGUACAGUGUAGUGUCAGAAAAUGCUUCUUCAGUGUCAUCUACCUGAUAACCUGUUGUCAUCGGUGUGUCUACAGGGUUAGCAUCCAUCAGAUUUAGUUUGCUUAACACAUCAGCAAUUUUCCGUGACUGGUGUACUAGAAUGUUACCAUCUUGAUCUCUCUCUAUUUCCAGAGAUAGGUAGUUGUUUACCUCACCAAGAUCUUUCAUGUCAAAGUGCUCUUUCAGUUGAGCUAGGGCGCUAUUGUACAUUGCAACAUCUUUCCAAAAGAAUAAUAAAUCAUCAACAUAAAACAAACAGUACAGUUUCUUUUGCCCCUCCUCUUGACAAAUACACAUGGAUCAGCUUUCCUUGCUGAAAACCUAGAGAAAACAAUACUUCAGUGAGUUUUGUGUGCCAACACCGUGCACUUUGUUUGAGACCAUAAAGGGAUUUCUUCAGAGCACAAACAAAUCCCUGUUUUACCUGUACGCCAUCAGGUGGAAGCAUAUAAAGUGAUUCAUCUAGAGAUCCGUACAGAAAAGCUGUAUUAAUAUCAUGGUGACUAAUGUGUAGAUUUUCCUCUGCAGCUAGCUUGAGCAUAAGCCUAAUGCUUUCAUAUCUCACUGUGGGUGAAUAGGUCUCGUGAUAGUCUUCACCUGGUACCUGUGCAAAACCUCUGGCUACCAAUCUGGCUUUGUGUCUGACUAUCUUGCCAUUUUGAUCUGUCUUCGCUUUGAAGACCCAUUUGCUUCCAAGCAGUUUCAUUCCUGGAACUACUGGAACUAGUUCCCAUGUUUUGUUCCUUUCUAAGGAAUCAAGCUCAGCCUUCAUGGCAUUUAACCAUGGCUCAGCUUCCUUUGAAUCCAAACCCUGGAUUUCUUGGAAACUUGAAGGUUCAAAUACCUUCUUGGAGCUUUUAACAGCUGUUACUGCUAUCUUAGCAAACUCAUCAGCAAAUCUCUUUGGAGGUUUGCCUUUGUGGCUCUCUGUGACCUACGAAUUAGCCUUAAGUCUUCAACACUCUCCUCUUCCUUCUUAGGAGAAAAACGACCUAUUGUGAACAAUGGUUCCUCCAAUUCUUGAUCAGAGCUUUCAGAGGGUCGCAUAGAGGCUUUCGCACUCUUGAAAUCCUCUGAAUCACCCGAUUCAGUUUCAGAUUCAGACUCAGAACCUUCAUCAGUGGGUGUGGGCUGUUGUGGUUGCUUUUGACUAUCCUCAGUCUCAUCACCGUCAUCAGGAUAACAUUGGAAAAUUCCCUCAUUCUCCCCCACUUUGCAUUGUACUCAACACUUCUCGUGAGCUUAAUUGUCUUAGAGUCAGUCAUCAUUAUUCUGUAAGACCCUUUCUGAUAACCUAGAAAGAUACCAUGCAAUCCACGCUUGUCUAACUUGGAGUUUUGUGGUGAGUGAACCCACAUGUCAGAACCAAAAUCUUCAUGUGUUUGAUGUAUGGCUUUUUGCCAAACAUCUUCUCAUAGGGGGUACAACCAAUCGCUGAAGAUAGCCUGCGAUUGUAACUGUAAACAAAACACGAGAGAGAUUCGGCCCAAUAACUCUCUGGAAGAUUGGCAUCAUGCAGCAAGGUUUUUAAUCCUUGAAGCAAUGUCUGAUUUGCCCGUUCCGCAAGUCCAUUCUGCCAUGGCGAGCGAGGACUAGACAAAUCGUGUUGAAUUCCUUUCUCAGUCAGAAAAGCUUCAAACUGCUGAGAAGUGAAUUCCCCCCCGCGAUCACUGAAAAGAGUCUUUAUCUUCUUACCAUGCACAUUUUCCAACCAAGCACAGAAUUCCUUGAACCUAGGAAAAGCCUCCGAUUUCUGCUUGAGAUUGUACACAAAAAUAUAUCUAGAAAAUGCAUCAAUGAGAACCAUGAAGUAUCUAUUUCCACCCAAAGAGGGCGGUAGUGGUCCAACCAAAUCAGCAUGAACAACCUGGUAUGGUUCUGUAGCUUUCCUACUAGACACCUUACCUUUCGCAGCCAUUUUCACCUUGUUUGCUGCGCAUGCUUUGCACUUCAUGUGGUACCUGCAGGGUUUAAUAGUCAUACCUUCAACCAAGGCAGGCAUUUUAGAUACUGCCUCAAAAUGCAAAUGACCAAAUUUGCGAUGAAAAUCGUGAAUACAUUCUGCAUGCAAACUUUUGUUAGAACCUGCAAUGCAACAAGUGUCAUCCUGCACCACAUCAUCAUAAUACAAAACAAACAAAUGAUCAACAUAUUCUGCAUGCAAUACAUAAUCAUUUUUCUUUGUGAUGAUGCACUUCUUGUUCUUGAAGGAAACGUCAAUGUUCCGCUCAUUCAGCUGUCCAACGCUGAGCAGAUUAUGUUUGGCGUCUGGCACGUAAAGCACAUUCUGUAUCGAUAAGUCCAAACUGUGAAGAACAACAGUUCCGUAGCCUUUACUGGGAAUAGUGUGGUCAUCCGCCUGGUGAAUCGCACCUUCCUGCGGUGUAAAAGACACAAACAGUUUCUUAUCGUUGCACAUGUGGUGGGUGGCCGCUGAAUCAACAACGAAGAAAGAUCUAGACGUCUUCUGGACCUCUGCAACCUUUGGAGUGAAGCGUGAAACCAUAGCCUUGUGCUGCGUUGUCCUAGACACCGGACCUUUGCCUUUGCCUCGGCCCUUUCCGCGCGAUGAGCUUUCGCUGCGCUGCUCUGUCUUGGCCCUGGGAUGUCUGCAUUCCCUCUUCAUAUGGCCUAGACGUCCACACGAGUAGCAUUUCACUGCCUUCAAAGCUUUGGCGCCAUCUGGUGGUUCCACUGCACUAUGGGAUGACGUCUGUGAAGACUCCCCUUGCCCAUGCAGCUAGCACCCCGGCGAUCUGCUUCAUUUAAAAUCACGGCAGUAACAAAGUCCACUGUCAGCUGAGCAGUUGGUUGCACAGCAAUCUGGGUUGCAACAGACUCCCAACCUGAACCCAAAGAUUGUAGUAUCAUGAAAGAAUACACAGCCUCUGGAAAGUUGAGUCCUCUCUGUUGCAGCUCAUGUCUCAGAUUUUGCAUCUGCAUCAGAUGUAAACGCACAUCUCCACCUUCAGCAAGAGCCAUAUUAUGCAGCUUGUUAAAAUAAAACAUAGUUGAUCCAGCUUCUGUCCUUAAGUGAGCCUCUCUCAGAGCGUCCCAAAUUUCUCUGGCUGAGGUCUUAUCACGCAAUAGACAGAGCUCUUCUGGGGAUACUAUCAAUGUAAGAGUUCCCUUGCUUUGGAAUCCUUAGCUUCCCAUGCAUCUGUAACUGGAACUGGGGGUUCCUGUAAUCACCUCAAACAAACCCUCUUUCCGCAGAAUUGCCUCUGCAUACUGAACCCAGUCGCUGUUAUUAUUCUUGUUGAGCUUAGGAAUCCUACAAGCAUCCUGAAGGGCCAUCAUGACUCUGGCAUUAGCCUUCAGCGUCAUUAUAUGCUGCUUUAAAUCUUGCUGCGUCACUGCUGCAGCUGCCUCAUUACAAAGGCACACUUAAAAGUUACUUUCGAUUUCCCCAGCAUAGUGACUUGUGCCUGGGAGCCUUUUGCCUAUUCCCGGCAAAACCGGCUUUAAAAGUUCAAAGUCCAGCCAUAAAGCCAUUAUCUUGAAGCUGGCAGGCUGCCCGGAGCAGUAGCACAUACCUCAUCAAUCACUUCUACGCGCAGAGCAGAUUCCUUUCCGAUCCGUCCCUCUGCAUUCCGAUCUGCCGGCACUCCGAUUCGACCUCUGGAGUCCAUAACCACGUGUUGAUUUAAAGCAGAGUCUUGUGGCCAGCGGAAGGAUGAGGAAAAUGUGUUACAUACUCUAUAUUGCUUUAUUUACAGUUCAAAGCUGGUAUAUUACAGAAAGACAUCUUGCCUCUGCAGGAGCAGAAAAUGCAUCCUCUCUCCUCUCUCAGCUCGGAGAGAAAACACACCGAGUGAAAAACAGGAAACCAGUGUACGUCACAUCCAGUCUCCCUUUCCCGUGAGAAACUCCAACAGUACCUCUGACUGUGGAAUGCAAAACAAUGUCUUGUGACUGCAGUUGCUGCUCAGUGAGGGAAAUAGAAACCAACAGAGCCAUGGC
rnacentral:lncRNA from 1 species